AACGUAGGAGGCAAGCGUUAUCCGGAUUUACUGGGCGUAAAGCGCGUGCAGGCGGUCUGGUAAGAUGGAUGAGAAAGCUCCCGGCUCAACUCGGAGAGGUCGUUCAAAACUGCCAGACUAGAGGACGGUAGAGGGAGGUGGAAUUCCGGGUGUAGUGGUGAAAUGCGUAGAUAUCCGGAGGAACACCAGUGGCGAAAGCGGCCUCCUGGACCGUCCCUGACGCUCAGACGCGAAAGCUAGUGGAGCAAACGGG
rnacentral:rRNA from 1 species